rnacentral:rRNA from 1 species
GCUUUCACUCCUACGGGAGGCAGCAGUGGGGAAUAUUGCACAAUGGGCGCAAGCCUGAUGCAGCCAUGCCGCGUGUAUGAAGAAGGCCUUCGGGUUGUAAAGUACUUUCAGCAGUGAGGAAGGUGGUGUCGUUAAUAGCGGCAUCAUUUGACGUUAGCUGCAGAAGAAGCACCGGCUAACUCCGUGCCAGCAGCCGCGGUAAUACGGAGGGUGCGAGCGUUAAUCGGAAUUACUGGGCGUAAAGCGCAUGCAGGUGGUUUGUUAAGUCAGAUGUGAAAGCCCGGGGCUCAACCUCGGAAUUGCAUUUGAAACUGGCAGACUAGAGUACUGUAGAGGGGGUAGAAUUUCAGGUGUAGCGGUGAAAUGCGUAGAGAUCUGAAGGAAUACCGGUGGCGAAGGCGGCCCCCUGGACAGAUACUGACACUCAGAUGCGAAAGCGUGGGGAGCAAACAGGAUUAGAUACCCUGGUAG